rnacentral:miRNA from 1 species
UAAAAAACAAAUAAUGAAUGUUUUUAUUCAUGCAAUGGUAAGAAUAUUUCAUUCGGUGAAAGAUGGAAUGUUCCAUUCAACUCGGCUGUCGCCUCGUUGAAUGAAACAUUCCAUCUUUCACCUCAUGAAAAUAUUCUUGCCAUUGCACUCAUAAACAUUCAUUAUUUGUAUAAUA